UGCUAUCUCUUACCCAUGUCUUUUGAGUACCUUACGUUUCCUCGGCGGGUCCGCCCGCCGAUUGGACAAUUUAAACCAUUUGCAGUUGCAAUCAGCGUCUGAAAAAACUUAAUAGUUACAACUUUCAACAACGGAUCUCUUGGUUCUGGCAUCGAUGAAGAACGCAGCGAAAUGCGAUAAGUAGUGUGAAUUGCAGAAUUCAGUGAAUCAUCGAAUCUUUGAACGCACAUUGCGCCCCUUGGUAUUCCAUGGGGCAUGCCUGUUCGAGCGUCAUUUGUACCUUCAAGCUCUGCUUGGUGUUGGGUGUUUGUCUCGCCUCUGCGUGUAGACUCGCCUCAAAACAAUUGGCAGCCGGCGUAUUGAUUUCGGAGCGCAGUACAUCUCGCGCUUUGCACUCAUAACGACGACGUCCAAAAGUACAUUUUUACACUCUUGACCUCGGAUCAGGUAGGGAUACCCGCUGAACUUAAGCAUAUCAUA
rnacentral:rRNA from 1 species